UACGUAGGGUGCAAGCGUUGUCCGGAAUUAUUGGGCGUAAAGAGCUCGUAGGCGGUUUGUCGCGUCGAAUGUGAAAACCCGAGGCUCAACCUCGGGCCUGCAGUGGGUACGGGCAGACUAGAGUGCGGUAGGGGAGAUUGGAAUUCCUGGUGUAGCGGUGGAAUGCGCAGAUAUCAGGAGGAACACCAAUGGCGAAGGCAGAUCUCUGGGCCGUAACUGACGCUGAGGAGCGAAAGCAUGGGGAGCGAACAGG
rnacentral:rRNA from 1 species